rnacentral:rRNA from 1 species
UACGAAGGGGGCUAGCGUUGCUCGGAAUCACUGGGCGUAAAGAGCGUGUAGGCGGCCACACAGGUCUGCUGUGAAAACUCGAGGCUCAACCUCGAGCUGUCGGUGGAAACCGUGUGGCUAGAGUCCGGAAGAGGAGAGUGGAAUUCCCGGUGUAGCGGUGAAAUGCGCAGAUAUCGGGAAGAACACCCGUGGCGAAGGCGGCUCUCUGGGACGGUACUGACGCUGAGACGCGAAAGCGUGGGGAGCGAACAGG